CAAUAGCGUAUAUUUAAGUUGCUGCAGUUAAAAAGCUCGUAGUUGGAUUUCGGGUGGGAAUGGCCGGUCCGCCGUUUCGGUGUGCACUUGCUACGCCCACCUUGCUGCCGGGGACGUGCUCUUGAGUUCACGCUCGGGACACGGAGUCGGCGAGGUUACUUUGAGUAAAUUAGAGUGUUCAAAGCAGGCCUACGCUCUGAAUACAUUAGCAUGGAAUAACACGAUAGGACUCUGGCCUAUCUUGUUGGUCUGUAGGACCGGAGUAAUGAUUAAGAGGGACAGUCGGGGGCAUUCGUAUUCCGUUGUCAGAGGUGAAAUUCUUGGAUUUACGGAAGACGAACAUCUGCGAAAGCAUUUGCCAAGGAUGUUUUCAUUGA
rnacentral:rRNA from 1 species